GCGGCAGGCUUAAUACAUGCAAGUCGAGGGGCAGCACAGGUAGCAAUACUGGGUGGCGACCGGCAAACGGGUGCGGAACACGUACGCAACCUUCCCAAAACAGGUGAAUAGCCCUCCGAAAGGAGGAUUAAUACACCGUACCAUAAUGGAGUGGCAUCACUCUAUUAUUAUAGUAGCAAUACGGUUUUGGAUGGGCGUGCGCCUGAUUAGGUAGUUGGCGGGGUAACGGCCCACCAAGCCUUCGAUCAGUAACUGGUGUGAGAGCACGACCAGUCACACGGGCACUGAGACACGGGCCCGACUCCUACGGGAGGCAGCAGUAAGGAAUAUUGGUCAAUGGACGCAAGUCUGAACCAGCCAUGCCGCGUGAAGGAUGAAGGCCCUCUGGGUUGUAAACUUCUUUUAUCUGGGACGAAAAACGGACUUUCUAGUUCACUUGACGGUACCAGAGGAAUAAGCACCGGCUAACUCCGUGCCAGCAGCCGCGGUAAUACGGAGGGUGCAAGCGUUAUCCGGAUUUACUGGGUUUAAAGGGUGCGUAGGUGGGUAGGUAAGUCAGUGGUGAAAUCUUCAAGCUUAACUUGGAAACUGCCAUUGAUACUAUUUAUCUUGAAUUAUCUGGAGGUAAGCGGAAUAUGUCAUGUAGCGGUGAAAUGCUUAGAUAUGACAUAGAACACCCAUUGCGAAGGCAGCUUACUACGGAUAUAUUGACACUGAGGCACGAAAGCGUGGGGAUCAAACAGGAUUAGAUACCCUGGUAGUCCACGCCCUAAACGAUGGAUACUCGACAUCAGCGAUACACUGUUGGUGUCUGAGCGAAAGCAUUAAGUAUCCCACCUGGGAAGUACGAUCGCAAGAUUGAAACU
rnacentral:rRNA from 1 species